GGGACAUUCUUCACUUUUCUCAAAAGUGGAUUUCUUUUGGGUCUCCUUUAUGGCCUACAAUUGUCAUUCUCAAAUUGGUUCCUGCAGAUGAAGACCAUUUCAUUCUGUGAUGGUCUGCUGCUGUUUCUGAAAGCAACCCAACUCUCCCUAAUAAGAAAAAGGUUUGGCUGUUGGCCACUUAUUAAUAAUGGGUCGGUGGCUGAAGUCUUAAACAGGAGUCAUCUAAUUCUUCCAGGGAAACUCACUCACAUGCUUAUCAGCAACAGUAUCAACUUGUAAGUGCUUCAACUUUUUUUCUUUAUCUCUUCUUAUAUGAUUUGAGGCUCUAGAAAGCGAGAAUGGGCAAAUAAGAGAGAGAGAUGGGAGACAAAAUGCCAUUUUUCAAUGACAUUUUUUCUUACUUUUUGUCUUUUCACAACUGUGUAUUUUUUUUGUUUUGAAUGAAUUGUAUGAAUGACAAGGGAGAAAGUGUUCUGGGAUGGUGGAGGGAGCUUUCUUUUCCCGCUUUCGAGUUUAACGAUGAAAGUGUCUUUCUCUAUCACGGAAAAAUGAUCAAUUUUUAUCCAUUUACAGAUGCUAGGUUUGCAUGCUAGCUCUUAUCUCAUGCCUAUAUUUGCAUGUCCACUGAACCUGUUUUUUGCAGCAAACUCCAAAUGAAUAAAGUUCAAGUCUCGUAGGUUAUAGGCAAAAUAGCAAUUUACUUUCCAGUUAGUUUCUCAAUAAUUCAAGCUAUCAUCAAUUCCAAGACCAUACAAGAACAAGAGGGUCAACAUCUUAUUAACAUGAUCAUCUUCUUUAUAAUUUCCAUUACAGAAAAAGAAUUUACAUUAACCAUUGAUGAAGCAUAUCAGCUUCAAUUUUCUCUACGGGAUGGUGAGUUCUGUAUUAUGAUUUUGCUCUAUGAAACAUAUCAGCUUAAUGUAAAUUGGGAAAUUUUGAAAAAUAAUACUGAAGUUCUAUUUGGGAAUA